AUCUCUUCUUUUCUUAUGAAAGAAGCAGAGAGAGCUUGGAGUCUGUCCUCAGGGCCCCCACCACUCAGGGAAAUUUUAGUUCUGAUGACCCAGCAUCUUCCUGGAAAGCCACUAGGGCUGUGGGAUGGCCUCUGAGGAGGUAGCAGUCACAAGUCCCCGCUGUGACCUUCUCAAGGUCACGUCCCUGUGGUGACCUCUAUGUGGCCCUUGGCUUAUGGGAUCGGAAUUGUACAGCAGCCCUGGGAAUUGAUACCACCUACACAAUCAACACAGACUAGACCACAGCUGACCCCAGGCUACUCAUCAUCCUCAGAUUGGAUAAUUUCUAUCGAUCCAUCCUCAAGUUCCACUUCCUCUUCUGUCGGCCCCAAUCUCUGACAAGCUCUUUCAGUGAAUUCAUCAUUUCGACCCUUGUAUCUCUCCUCUGAAGGCACCCUGUGUGUUUAAUGUACUGCCCUUCACAGAGCCAAGAUACAGAAUCUCCGGAGAUGGAUGAAUGGAGGAAGUAAAUGUGUACUGGACGCACAAUGGAAUAUUACCCAGUCACGGAAAAGAGCAAAAUCCCAUUUGCUGUAGCGAAGUGGAUGGGCCUGAAGGACACUGUGUGAGUGAAGUGGAAGCUAAAGACUUGCUUCGCUUCAUAGACGGGGAGAGAGAGGGGAAGAAGAAGUGUGUAAGGGAUGUAGCAGAAAGUAGACAAUGUGUACCCGGAUGUGGAUGGACGAGACGGAAUCCGGAUGUGGAUAGAUGCUACAGAACCGGGAUGUGGAUGGAUGAGACGGAACCCAGAUGUUGAUGGACAGGACUGAAGAGCUCUAGCUGGGAAGUAGUUAACGGUAAACCUACCAAAAACCUCAAAAUAGGUAGAAGAGAGGACAUUGGGUGAGCCCCCAAAUAAA